GCUAGAUCGUUGGGACCGGCACCCUCGCGCCAAGAAAAGAAAACAAUAAUUAAUGGGCAGGGUAGACAACAUGUGCCGUCAACCGUCGACAGUUCAGCUGUCACCAAAUGAGCAGCUUACUGCUGAAGAAACCUUCAAGUUGUACUGCAAGCCAGUUGAGCUCUGCAAUGUUAUCCAAAAACGAGCCCUUGAUAAUCCCGCUUUUCUACAACUCCUUUACAUGAUACAGACAAGCUGCACAAAGAGGUUCCGCUGGCUCCACUAACAACCGUCUACGGGCGCUUGCAUAGGAUACCAAGCGAGUGUUUAGGAUCCCACACCGGGCAUUUCUUGACAUGCUCCUAGCACACCUUACGCUAAUCACCGGCUCAGUAUGAUCGUGUUGUGCAUGACGACGGCAAGAUCUGUGUGAUCAUCUUUUUCAACACCUCUACAUUGGAUCUUGGAGGACCAAUUAGUAUGAACGCGUCGUGUCGUCAUUCCUUUUGGUCUACAUUAUGCCCAAGACAUGCAAAGUUGUGGAUUGUCUGUAAGCUACCAUGUGCUUUUGUACGUCCUAUGCCUGUGAUAUUUGAUACUAAACCUAUUGUGCUACAUGCUUUC